CAGCCUGAUGCGCCAUGCCGCGUGUGUGAAGAAGGCCUUCGGGUUGUAAAGCACUUUCAGUCGUGAGGAAGGUUCAUACGUUAAUAGCGUAUGGAUUUGACGUUAGCGACAGAAGAAGCACCGGCUAACUCCGUGCCAGCAGCCGCGGUAAUACGGAGGGUGCGAGCGUUAAUCGGAAUUACUGGGCGUAAAGCGCAUGCAGGUGGUUCGUUAAGUCAGAUGUGAAAGCCCGGGGCUCAACCUCGGAACUGCAUUUGAAACUGGCGGACUAGAGUACUGUAGAGGGGGGUAGAAUUUCAGGUGUAGCGGUGAAAUGCGUAGAGAUCUGAAGGAAUACCGGUGGCGAAGGCGGCCCCCUGGACAGAUACUGACACUCAGAUGCGAAAGCGUGGGGAGCAAACAGGAUUAGAUACCCUGGUAGUCCACGCCGUAAACGAUGUCUACUUGGAGGUUGUGGCCUUGAGCCGUGGCUUUCGGAGCUAACGCGUUAAGUAGACCGCCUGGGGAGUACGGUCGCAAGAUUAAAACUCAAAUGAAUUGACGGGGGCCCGCACAAGCGGUGGAGCAUGUGGUUUAAUUCGAUGCAACGCGAAGAACCUUACCUACUCUUGACAUCUAGAGAAGCCAGCGGAGACGCAGGUGUGCCUUCGGGAACUCUAAGACAGGUGCUGCAUGGCUGUCGUCAGCUCGUGUUGUGAAAUGUUGGGUUAAGUCCCGCAACGAGCGCAACCCUUAUCCUUGUUUGCCAGCGAGUAAUGUCGGGAACUCCAGGGAGACUGCCGGUGAUAAACCGGAGGAAGGUGGGGACGACGUCAAGUCAUCAUGGCCCUUACGAGUAGGGCUACACACGUGCUACAAUGGCGCAUACAGAGGGCUGCCAACCAGCGAUGGUGAGCGAAUCCCAAAAAGUGCGUCGUAGUCCGGAUUGGAGUCUGCAACUCGACUCCAUGAAGUCGGAAUCGCUAGUAAUCGUGAAUCAGAAUGUCACGGUGAAUACGUUCCCGGGCCUUGUACACACCGCCCGUCACACCAUGGGAGUGGGCUGCAAAAGAAGUGGGUAGUUUAACCUUUCGAGGAGGACGCUCACCACUUGUGGUCAUGAUGGUGAGC
rnacentral:rRNA from 1 species